UACGGGGGGGGCAAGCGUUGUUCGGAAUUACUGGGCGUAAAGGGCUCGUAGGCGGCCAACUAAGUCAGACGUGAAAUCCCUCGGCUUAACCGGGAACUGCGUCUGAUACUGGAGAGCUUGAGUCCGGAAGAGGUGAGUGGAACUCCGAGUGUAGAGGUGAAAUUCGUAGAUAUUCGGAAGAACACCAGUGGCGAAGGCGGCUCACUGGUCCGGUACUGACGCUGAUGUGCGAAAGCGUGGGGAGCAAACAGG
rnacentral:rRNA from 1 species